rnacentral:tRNA from 1 species
UCCCUGAUAGCUCAAUUGGCAGAGCAUCUGACUGUUAAUCAGAGGGUUCCUGGUUCGAGUCCAGGUCGGGGAG